UUUAUUGGAGAGUUUGAUCCUGGCUCAGGAUGAACGCUGGCGGCGUGCCUAAUACAUGCAAGUCGAGCGAAUGGAUUAAGAGCUUGCUCUUAUGAAGUUAGCGGCGGACGGGUGAGUAACACGUGGGUAACCUGCCCAUAAGACUGGGAUAACUCCGGGAAACCGGGGCUAAUACCGGAUAACAUUUUGAACUACAUGGUUCGAAAUUGAAAGGCGGCUUCGGCUGUCACUUAUGGAUGGACCCGCGUCGCAUUAGCUAGUUGGUGAGGUAACGGCUCACCAAGGCAAAGAUGCGUAGCCGACCCGAGAGGGUGAUCGGCCACACUGGGACUGAGACACGGCCCAGACUCCUACGGGAGGCAGCAGUAGGGAAUCUUCCGCAAUGGACGAAAGUCUGACGGAGCAACGCCGCGUGAGUGAUGAAGGCUUUCGGGUCGUAAAACUCUGUUGUUAGGGAAGAACAAGUGCUAGUUGAAUAAGCUGGCACCUUGACGGUACCUAACCAGAAAGCCACGGCUAACUACGUGCCAGCAGCCGCGGUAAUACGUAGGUGGCAAGCGUUAUCCGGAAUUAUUGGGCG
rnacentral:rRNA from 1 species